AACGAACGCUGGCGGCAGGCCUAACACAUGCAAGUCGAGCGCGCCCUUCGGGGUGAGCGGCGGACGGGUGAGUAACGCGUGGGAACGUGCCCUUUUCUACGGAAUAGCCUCGGGAAACGGAGAGUAAUACCGUAUACGCCCUUUGGGGGAAAGAUUUACCGGAAAAGGAUCGGCCCGCGUUGGAUUAGGUAGUUGGUGGGGUAAUGGCCUACCAAGCCGACGAUCCAUAGCUGGUUUGAGAGGAUGAUCAGCCACACUGGGACUGAGACACGGCCCAGACUCCUACGGGAGGCAGCAGUGGGGAAUCUUAGACAAUGGGGGCAACCCUGAUCUAGCCAUGCCGCGUGAGUGAUGAAGGCCUUAGGGUUGUAAAGCUCUUUCAGCUGGGAAGAUAAUGACGGUACCAGCAGAAGAAGCCCCGGCUAACUCCGUG
rnacentral:rRNA from 1 species